AGAGAGAGACAUGCGCGCAUAUCAAUAAGCGGAGGAAAAGAAACUAACAAGGAUUCCCCUAGUAACGGCGAGUGAAGCGGGAAGAGCUCAAAUUUGAAAUCUUAAAGGGUUUCCCUUUACGAAUUGUAGUUUAAAGAAGUGUUUUCUGUUGAGGUUUUGGUAAAAGUUCUUUGGAAUAGGACAUCAUAGAGGGUGAGAAUCCCGUAUUUGACCUUUACUUUCAACUUUGUGAUACACUUUCAAAGAGUCGGAUUGUUUGGGAAUGCAGUCCAAAAUGGGUGGUAAAUUUCAUCUAAAGCUAAAUAUUGGCGAGAGACCGAUAGCGAACAAGUACCGUGAGGGAAAGAUGAAAAGAACUUUGAAAAGAGAGUUAAACAGUACGUGAAAUUGUCAAAAGGGAAGCGUUUGACACCAGUGUUGUUCUUCUGAAAAUCAAUUAAAGAACUGUUUAUGCUAAGCUGUUUAGACUUUAUCAGCUAUCUGUUUAGUUUUGAGCUUUUCUUUAAUGCACUUUUCAGUUAACAAGUCAACAUCAAUUUCCUUUUGCUGUAAAAAAGCUUGAGGAAGGUGGCUUGAGAUUCGUCUUAAGUGUUUAUAGCCUCUUGCCUAUGCAGUCGGAGAGAUUGAGGUCUGCAGCGUAGAUCCUUCGGGGCUAAUGCAUUUGUGCUAAGUUAUAGCAUUUUAUAGACAACUUGUUGACUAUGAUUUGUCUUGUAGCUUACUCGCUUAUGUUAUUUUACCUACGCUUAGGAUGUUGAGCGCAUGUCUCUCUCU
rnacentral:rRNA from 1 species